rnacentral:rRNA from 1 species
AGUGAACGCUGGCGGUAGGCCUAACACAUGCAAGUCGAACGGCAGCACAGUAAGAGCUUGCUCUUACGGGUGGCGAGUGGCGGACGGGUGAGGAAUACAUCGGAAUCUACUUUUUCGUGGGGGAUAACGUAGGGAAACUUACGCUAAUACCGCAUACGACCUACGGGUGAAAGCAGGGGAUCUUCGGACCUUGCGCGAUUGAAUGAGCCGAUGUCGGAUUAGUUAUUUGGCGGGGUAAAGGCCCACCAAGGCGACGAUCCGUAGCUGGUCUGAGAGGAUGAUCAGCCACACUGGAACUGAGACACGGUCCAGACUCCUACGGGAGGCAGCAGUGGGGAAUAUUGGACAAUGGGCGCAAGCCUGAUCCAGCCAUACCGCGUGGGUGAAGAAGGCCUUCGGGUUGUAAAGCCCUUUUGUUGGGAAAGAAAAGCAGCAGGUUAAUACCCCGCUGUUCUGACGGUACCCAAAGAAUAAGCACCGGCUAACUUCGUG